UUGAAAGGAACAGGACGGGGGUGUUUGCUGAGAAAUUAGGGCGAUUCAAUUAGCGGGUUUGCGACAGGCAUCCGCAGAUGUCUGCAGUCGGGAAUCUGUCGCGCAAAACUUCGCGUUUGGACGAGGAAUGUUUCAAGCAGUCCUACUGUUCUCUCAAGUUGUCUCGUUUGAAUCAAAACAAGCCCAAAAAAGUAAGAAAAGUCGCCCUCCAUGUGUCCACCCGACCUAAUAUAAAUAAAGACGCCCGCUGUCGGGAAGAAAGUAGCCACUAUUGGUCCGAUGCUGGGUAAUUGAGUUUUAUGGCUUCAACUUGUGAGGUUGCAUACGUAAUGAAGUGUCACAGUCUGGAAAGUUUUCCUCGCGUCAGUCGGUGUCCACGUUCCGUCUGUGUGGCCUCAAACUUCCAGGAAUAACCGCUCUGUUUUACAUUACCGUCGGGUGUAGAUACACGGACUUCUUUCAGGACCCGCAUUGUGGGAAGGAAGGACUGACGGUCGGAGAUGUCGGGUGGGAAAAGUUUUCUUUACACCCGUAGGGGACUUCUUAGGACUGUGUCAAAGACACGCAAGUGCGAUUUGAGAGGAAAAGACAACGCCGCAUUUCUACGUAAAGCGUGUCUUCUCAUCUCAACGGAGGGAUGUCGGAAAACUUCGGCGGGUGAGGAGAAGUUUUCACGCGGUCGGAAAGUCUGAAAGUUCCCGUUGCUGGCGGAGUUGGUAACCUUUUGAACUUGGAUUGACCGGAGGUUGGCAGGAGUCUUAGGGGACAUGAGGAAGGCACGGGUUUGGACGUGGCGGGCUGGUGCCGUGAGAGUGAAGGGAGCUUCUCCCAAACGUCCUCGGCGCUAGACCGUACCUCACGCCGUAAGGAUUACCACCGAGGGCCCUUAGAAUUUACCUUGAGCAAAGCUGCUCUGGGACCCCACAUGUGCUGCUGUAGGAGUCCUCUCUUGUAAGCGGUAUGGGCUGAAGCGUACUGUAAAGGAGAGACGAAAGUCACCGGGACAGAGAGGACGGUCUCUCGGAGGACCCUACCAACGCUCCGGCCUGUAUUCUACAGGUCACUUGGUGGAGUGUAGCAACCUGGCCGCACUGGACAUCCUUGCUACAAGCACUACUACAAGCAACUGGCUACCUGGACAUUAUCAUAUCUAAAUCGUACACUAUAUAUCUAUACAGAAAACGCUUUGAAAAUCAUUUUUUGAAAAUCCUGUGUCCAUCAGCUUCAUGAUUUUUUUCAUGUUCUAUUUUGAAAAAAAAAACUUAUUCAAAAAUGUAUUCCAAAUUAUAUUUCCAAGUAAGAAAUCCUUUGUAAACUCAUUUUUUAAAAAUCCUGCCUCCAUCAGCUGCAU